UUAAGUGAAUAAGGGCGCACGGUGGAUGCCUUGGCACUAGGAGCCGAUGAAGGACGGGACUAACACCGAUAUGCUUUGGGGAGCUGUACGUAAGCUAUGAUCCAGAGAUUUCCGAAUGGGGGAACCCAACAUCUUUAAUAGGAUGUUACGAUUGUGUGAAUACAUAGCACAUUCGAGGUAGACGCAGAGAACUGAAACAUCUAAGUACCUGCAGGAAGAGAAAGAAAAUUCGAUUCCCUGAGUAGCGGCGAGCGAAACGGGAAAAGCCCAAACCAGCAAGCUUGCUUGUUGGGGUUGUAGGACUCCAAUAUGGUAGUUCUUUCAGAUAGUCGAAUGACUUGGAAAAGUCAGUCAAAGAGGGUAAAAACCCCGUAGACGAAAUGUGGAAGACACCUAGGAGGAUCCUGAGUACGGCGGAACACGAGAAAUUCCGUCGGAAUCCGGGAGGACCAUCUCCCAAGGCUAAAUACUCCCUAGUGACCGAUAGUGAACCAGUACCGUGAGGGAAAGGUGAAAAGCACCCCGGAAGGGGAGUGAAAUAGAACCUGAAACCGUGUGCCUACAACAAGUCAAAGCCCGUUAAUGGGUGAUGGCGUGCCUUUUGUAGAAUGAACCGGCGAGUUACGAUUGCAUGCGAGGUUAAGUUGAAGAGACGGAGCCGCAGCGAAAGCGAGUCUGAAUAGGGCGUUUGAGUAUGUAGUCGUAGACCCGAAACCAUGUGAUCUACCCAUGUCCAGGUUGAAGGUGCGGUAAAACGCACUGGAGGACCGAACCCACGUACGUUGAAAAGUGCGGGGAUGAGGUGUGGGUAGCGGAGAAAUUCCAAACGAACUUGGAGAUAGCUGGUUCUCUCCGAAAUAGCUUUAGGGCUAGCCUCGGAAUUGAGAAUGAUGGAGGUAGAGCACUGUUUGGACUAGGGGCCCAUCUCGGGUUACCGAAUUCAGAUAAACUCCGAAUGCCAUUCAUUCAUAUCCGGGAGUCAGACUGUGAGUGAUAAGAUCCAUAGUCGAAAGGGAAACAGCCCAGACCACCAGCUAAGGUCCCAAAAUAUAUGUUAAGUGGAAAAGGAUGUGGGGUUGCACAGACAACUAGGAUGUUGGCUUAGAAGCAGCCACCAUUUAAAGAGUGCGUAAUAGCUCACUAGUCGAGUGACCCUGCGCCGAAAAUGUACCGGGGCUAAACAUAUUACCGAAGCUGUGGAGUACACCUUUAGGUGUAUUGGUAGGAGAGCGUUCUAAGGGCGUUGAAGGCAGAUCGUGAGGACUGCUGGAGCGCUUAGAAGUGAGAAUGCCGGUAUGAGUAGCGAAAGACAGGUGAGAAUCCUGUCCACCGAAUGACUAAGGUUUCCUGGGGAAGGCUCGUCCGCCCAGGGUUAGUCGGGACCUAAGCCGAGGCCGACAGGCGUAGGCGAUGGAUAACAGGUUGAUAUUCCUGUACCCGUUGUUUUUGUUUGAGCAAUGGAGGGACGCAGGAGGCUAAGGAAUGCAGACGAUCGGAAAUGUCUGUCCAAGCAGUAAGUCUGAAGAGGAGUCAAAUGCUUCUUUUCUUAAGGACAAGCUGUGAUGGGGAGGGAAAUAAUAGUACCGAAGUUCCUGAUGUCACACUGCCGAGAAAAGCUUCUAGUGAGAAAACAGCGGCCCGUACCGCAAACCGACACAGGUAGUCGAGGAGAGAAUCCUAAGGUGAGCGAGAGAACUCUCGUUAAGGAACUCGGCAAAAUGACCCCGUAACUUCGGGAGAAGGGGUGCUGAUCAUACGAUCAGCCGCAGUGAAUAGGCCCAAGCGACUGUUUAUCAAAAACACAGGUCUCUGCAAAAUCGUAAGAUGAAGUAUAGGGGCUGACGCCUGCCCGGUGCUGGAAGGUUAAGAGGAGUGCUUAGCGCAAGCGAAGGUACGAAUUGAAGCCCCAGUAAACGGCGGCCGUAACUAUAACGGUCCUAAGGUAGCGAAAUUCCUUGUCGGGUAAGUUCCGACCCGCACGAAAGGCGUAACGAUUUGGGCACUGUCUCAACGAGAGACUCGGUGAAAUUUUAGUACCUGUGAAGAUGCAGGUUACCCGCGACAGGACGGAAAG
rnacentral:rRNA from 1 species